AGAGUUUGAUCAUGGCUCAGAACGUACGCUGGCGGCACGCCUUAUACAUGCAAGUCGAACGAAGUAGCAAUACUUAGUGGCAGACGGGUGAGUAACAUGUAGGUAUCUUCCCUUUGGUGAGGAAUAACACGAGGAAACUUGUGCUAAUACCUCAUAAGUCUUUACGGAGAAAGCUUUAUGCGCCGAAGGAUGAGCCUGCACUUGAUUAGUUUGUUGGUAGGGUAAUGGCCUACCAAGACUGUGAUCAAUAGCUGAUCUGAGAGGAUGAUCAGCCACAUUGGGACUGAGACACGGCCCAAACUCCUACGGGAGGCAGCAGUAGGGAAUAUUGCACAAUGGAGGAAACUCUGAUGCAGCGAUGCCGCGUGAGUGAAGAAGGCCUUUGGGUUGUAAAGCUCUUUCGUCGGGGAAGAAAAUGACUGUACCCGAAUAAGAAGGUCCGGCUAACUUCGUGCCAGCAGCCGCGGUAAUACGAAGGGACCUAGCGUAGUUCGGAAUUACUGGGCUUAAAGAGUUCGUAGGUGGUUAAAAAAGUUGGUUGUGAAAUCCCGAAGCUUAACUUCGGAACUGCAAUCAAAACUUUUUAGCUAGAGUUUGAUAGAGGAAAGCAGAAUUUCUAGUGUAGAGGUGAAAUUCGUAGAUAUUAGAAAGAAUACCGAUUGCGAAGGCAGCUUUCUGGAUCAUUACUGACACUGAGGAACGAAAGCAUGGGUAGCGAAGAGGAUUAGAUACCCUCGUAGUCCAUGCUGUAAACGAUGUGUGUUAGACGUUGGAAAUUUAUUUUCAGUGUCGCAGCGAAAGCAGUAAACACACCGCCUGGGGAGUACGACCGCAAGGUUAAAACUCAAAUGAAUUGACGGGGACCCGCACAAGUAGUGGAGCA
rnacentral:rRNA from 1 species